rnacentral:rRNA from 1 species
GACGUAGGGGCCAGCGUUGUUCGGAAUUACUGGUGUAAAGGGUUCGUAGGCGGUGUAGCAAGUCGGGAGUGAAAUCUCUGGGCUUAACCCAGAGGCUGCUUCCGAACUGCUGUGCUUGAGUGUGGAGAGGCGCGUGGAAUUGCAGGUGUAGCGGUGAAAUGCGUAGAUAUCUGCAGGAACACCCGUGGCGAAAGCGGCGCGCUGGACCACUACUGACGCUGAGGAACGAAAGCUAGGGGAGCAAACAGG